rnacentral:rRNA from 1 species
UAGGGAAUAUUGGUUAAUCUGGGAAACCGGGAACCAGCAACGCCGCGUGCACGAUGACGGCCUUCGGGUUGUAAAGUGCUUUUUGAAAGGAUGAGGAAGGACAGUACUUUCAGAAUAAGCUUCGGCUAACUACGUGCCAGCAGCCGCGGUAAAACGUAGGAAGCGAGCGUUAUCCGGAUGUACUGGGCGUAAAGCGUGUGUAGGCGGCUUGACAAGUUGGAUGUGAAAGCUCCUGGCUUAACUGGGAGAGGUCGUUCAAUACUGGCAGGCUUGAGAGUGGUAGAGGGAGGUGGAAUUCCGGGUGUAGUGGUGAAAUGCGUAGAUAUCCGGAGGAACACCAGUGGCGAAAGCGGCCUCCUGGCCCAUUUCUGACGCUCAGACACGAAAGCUAAGGUAGCAAACG